rnacentral:rRNA from 1 species
AUUGAACGCUGGCGGCAGGCCUAACACAUGCAAGUCGAGCGGCGGCGGAAAGUAGCUUGCUACUUUGCCGGCGAGCGGCGGACGGGUGAGUAAUGUCUGGGAAACUGCCUGAUGGAGGGGGAUAACUACUGGAAACGGUAGCUAAUACCGCAUGACCUCGAAAGAGCAAAGUGGGGGAUCUUCGGACCUCACGCCAUCGGGUGUGCCCAGAUGGGAUUAGCUAGUAGGUGAGGUAAUGGCUCACCUAGGCGACGAUCCCUAGCUGGUCUGAGAGGAUGACCAGCCACACUGGAACUGAGACACGGUCCAGACCCCUACGGGAGGCAGCAGUGGGGAAUAUUGCACAAUGGGCGCAAGCCUGAUGCAGCCAUGCCGCGUGUGUGAAGAAGGCCUUAGGGUUGUAAAGCACUUUCAGCGAGGAGGAAGGCAUCAUACUUAAUACGUGUGGUGAUUGACGUUACUCGCAGAAGAAGCACCGGCUAACUCCGUGCCAGCAGCCGCGGUAAUACGGAGGGUGCAAGCGUUAAUCGGAAUUACUGGGCGUAAAGCGCACGCAGGCGGUUUGUUAAGUCAGAUGUGAAAUCCCCGCGCUUAACGUGGGAACUGCAUUUGAAACUGGCAAGCUAGAGUCUUGUAGAGGGGGGUAGAAUUCCAGGUGUAGCGGUGAAAUGCGUAGAGAUCUGGAGGAAUACCGGUGGCGAAGGCGGCCCCCUGGACAAAGACUGACGCUCAGGUGCGAAAGCGUGGGGAGCAAACAGG